rnacentral:rRNA from 1 species
UACCUAUAACGUUGCCUCGGCGGGAACAGACGGCCCCGUAACACGGGCCGCCCCCGCCAGAGGACCCCCUAACUCUGUUUCUAUAAUGUUUCUUCUGAGUAAACAAGCAAAUAAAUUAAAACUUUCAACAACGGAUCUCUUGGCUCUGGCAUCGAUGAAGAACGCAGCGAAAUGCGAUAAGUAAUGUGAAUUGCAGAAUUCAGUGAAUCAUCGAAUCUUUGAACGCACAUUGCGCCCGCCAGUAUUCUGGCGGGCAUGCCUGUUCGAGCGUCAUUACAACCCUCAGGCCCCCGGGCCUGGCGUUGGGGAUCGGCGGAAGCCCCCUGCGGUCACAACGCCGUCCCCCAAAUACAGUGGCGGUCCCGCCGCAGCUUCCAUUGCGUAGUAGCUAACACCUCGCAACUGGAGAGCGGCGCGCCCACGCCGUAAAACACCCAACUUCUGAAUGUUGACCUCGAAUCAGGUAGGAAUACCC